ACACCCCAGGAAGGUGUUGAUGUCCUAUACAUGUUAAGCCAGGAACAAACCUGAUGCUUUUUCCUCCCUGAAACCAAAACACAGACUGCAGUUUGAGUAAAAGCUGGUCAGCUCCUCACUCCUCACACCUCCCUUUGGCGCUUGAAGGUCAUGUUACAUGUCUGAGUGGCUGUGUGAAGCUUCACUUUGUAGCUGGGUACCUGCAUGUCCAGAGCCAACAGCGUGUCUGGUGUUGCUUGCCCUCCGCCCAGGAACAUACUGCCUGUAUUCUUCAGGAAAUACUUGGCCAUGUGAUGCUCUGCUGCACAUCUCCUGCCUGCUAGGGUUCCACUGUUGAGACAGAACCCAACCUUCCACAGCCCGUAUGUAUGUACAAUCAACACUCAGGCUGGUUGCCGUUGGCUUGGUCAUAACAUUCAUCGCCUUCUCAUUCAGUCCUGCAGAGCAGCCUCACACCUUUUCAGUUUCCCAUAUGUGUAGUGAACCAUU